ACUGGGGCACACUCUGUAGUCCCAGCUACUUGGGAGGCUGGCAGGAGGAUUGUUUGGGCCCAGGAGUUCUGGGCUGUAAUGGGCUACGUCAAUUGGAUGUCCUCACUAAGUUCAGCAUCAAUAUGGCGACCUCUGGGAAGCAGGGGACCACCGGGUUCCCUAAGAGGGGGUGAACUGGCCCAGGUCAGACAUGGAGCAGGUCAAAACUUGAGUGCUGAUCAGUAUUGGGAUCGCACCUGUGAGUAACCACUGCACUCCAGCUUAGCAAGACCCCAUCUGA
rnacentral:SRP_RNA from 1 species